CUAUAUAAGUCAGUUUCACAUAUAUUAUUAUUUCAUUUUAUUCUCAUGACAAUCCUGUAAUCCCUAAAUUACUAUCUACCAAUUCUUGAGAUAAGGCAAUGGGAGUUCAGAGUGGUUGUUUAGCUUAUUUGAGCUUGGACAAUAGGAUUCAUUCCAACGUUCUUCACCAUGCCAUUCUUCUAGUUACCAGGGAGAUUUGGCUACUGGAACCUCAAAUGAUGGGAAGUUUAUUGUGUGUUCAACUACUUUUGCAUGGUUCCCAUUCCCCACCCUUACACAUGAUAAAUUCCACAAAUGAGCCUUAACGAUUUUACCCAUGGCCCUCACCAAUAUUUCAAAAUAAUAACUGGCCCCUACUACAGUUCAAGGCUGAUUAUUUUCACUUCUGGGGAUAAGAAAUCAGAGGAAGAGAAGCAAUUAUUGCAUCUUGCACUGAGUGAUGAAGUGCUUCUCAUCCGUAUCAAGUCAUAUCACAAACUACAUAAAACUGCAUAAAAAAUUACCAGCAAGUAGGAAAGUGUUUCCACUGACCUCAAAAGCACUCAGAGAGUCACUGAUCUGGGGGGGGGGGGUCACAAGAAGGACCAUUAUCAUUGCUUUUUUUCUUUCAUUAAGUGUUUACACUUGGCAUUCUAUUUGGCAGUAAGCUCAAGGUUAUGCUGUCAGUGCAAGAUCAUUAGCUUUACAAUUUUUCAAAAAGCGUUUACCUUAGCAAAUGUUCAUCCCAACCUCAGUGAACAUGUUUAUGUCCAGGUGUAAAUCCUGUUGCUGGAAGAGCUGCUUGCUAAUUACACUGGCUGCUGUUCUUUAUUUCUCUAUGCAUGAUUUGGGCAGCAGAAAUUCAUCAGAAACCUUUUCUUCCUGAACGGUAUUAGCUGAAGAUUUUAGCAUAAGCUUGCGUUGUUGUGCCUUUGUAAGCAAUUUCCUCCUGCCAGCUAGCCAGGUCAAGGUCUAAGGAGCUGUGCCUCUUUCACCCCUGCAUCAUCGGGGCAGCUAGAAAAAGUGACAAACGUCUAGUUAUUUUUGGUUAAAGUGGUAUCCGUUUGAUGUCAGAAAAUGUUCAAGCUGGUAAAUAUCUCUUCCUUGUUUUUUCUCCCUCUGAAUGUUCUUUGAAAGGAAGGGGAUAUGAUCUAAGAGGGAAGAUAAGAGGAAUUGGCAGAUGUAAAUGAGACUUUGAAAAGCUGGUACUGUGUUCAGAUCUUGAGCUACGAGCAUGACACUGUCCCUACCUUCAAAAAACCCCCAAGCUCCAAAACCCUCAGUCUAGGGACCAGAAGACCAUGUAAGAAAUAGUUGCAAAAUAUUGCAAUAUAUACUUAUUACAGGGAUUGGCUCUGGUGAUUAAGGUCAAAAAGUACAACCAUGUGCUGUCUGUAAGCUGGGGAACCAGGAAAGCUGGUGUAUGAGGCAGUAGAAUAAGGGAUUAGAUAAGACUUGGGAAUAUGUUGGAGUGGCUUCAAUGUGGAGUAUGUUAGAAAGCAUGGCAAGAUGAGGGGGAAGGAAAGUUAAAAAGUGUUCCCAGAGUUCCAGGAAUAAGAGAGAAGGUCUGAACACAGGCACACUUAACAAAGAUGUAUUUGAAGAAACGUACCGGAUAGACGGACUAAGUCUGUGGGCUGAUUGGAUGGCUGACGUCAGGGGAAGCAAAUAAUCUAGAACAACUUCUUCAUUCAUGACUUGAGCAUCUGAGUUAACUGAAG
rnacentral:lncRNA from 1 species